ACAAGCCUGGGGACUGCAGGCACAGUGAGGAAGGUAGGGAAGGGUCUCUCCAAGACAGGCCCACCAGGAGCCCCCACUGGGAAUAAUGCAGCCCCUCUCAGGGGAUGGAGUGUCUGGAAUUCCAUGGCUGAGGUGCAACAGGUCCCACAGCCUCUCCAGCCUCUGUGGGAAGAAGGAUCAUCUGAUGCCUAUGUAAUAGAGUUGCUGAAGGAGUGGAAGCAGCUUUGACAUUAUCAGUGGAACCCACCAGUGCAGACUGCUUCACCAAGGGCACCUGAGGCAGCAGAUCUGAGGAUUAGGGACGUAGGGAGCUGAAGCCUGGCUGGAGAGGUGGUGCGCACAAGAACCCCCACAUUCCCCGACAGGAGCCUGAAAAAGCAAGACGCCAUGUUGGGAGGACACGGAAGCAGUUCUAGGGAGAGGAGCACAUGGCAAGAAGCCA
rnacentral:lncRNA from 1 species